UCAGAAUCAGGAACAACAGCAGCCGCAGAAGAAGGCUCUUCAAAAUGGGGUUAACAACUGGGUGUGAGAACUACUGCAAAAUGAAGUAAUCAUCAGUGGUACCGCUAUCGACCUCAACGGCUCACCCACUAAGUCUACAGAAAGUAUGCAGGAAGAUAGUAAAGGAAGCUGGUACAAACUCUACAGUUAUAUGCCACUAUACUAUCGGUAACCAACACUAGCUAUCUGUAGAUAUAAAUAUGAUGCAAUCUCUGACCCAAUCUCACUAGGGACUGUGAACACACCCGUUCCGCCUGCCGAAGCUACACCAACUACCAUCACGCUGGGUUGUUGGUAGAGAGCAAGUCCAACCAGAACACUACGACAACAACGCAAAAGCACUAAGCCCGACUCCGGAGUGGCACUUGUGGACGCUACCAAACCGAGUAUGCAAGCGUAUCUCUGCUGAGCUCAAUCAGGCUCUCACAGGCUAUAAUCAAAGCAAAUGAGUCUAACUGGUCUACAACCAAAACUAACGUGCCCUUAGCACAAUCUGAUGCAAAUAUAGAAAUCUGGGUCCAUCGUCAACCACGACGACACCCGACAGUCUGAAACAGUUUACACACUACUGUAAAAUAAGCUCGGCAUCCCAGCACGAGCGUAAACUCAUCCUACACUAAUCUGAGUAUCCAUCGCAUACUAACAGCGACGAUACAAUAGAACCACAGUUCCUAAAGCUAAAUCUGGUAAUUUUCAGAAAUGAUAGUGUAGGUUCUAAAUGUUUUCUCCUAAGUCAAUUCCAAAGUCCAACAUGUAAAAUUAAACUACUAGCUUAACUUCAAAUUCAGAUAUAAACAUUAAUUCAUGAAUUCGAGUGCUAGCAAGAAAAAUAGACGGAUGAUAUAUGU
rnacentral:lncRNA from 1 species